GCCCUCGUGGCGGAAUGGCAGACGCGCCGGAUUUAGGAUCCGGUGGGAAACCGUGCAGGUUCAACUCCUGUCGAGGGCA
rnacentral:tRNA from 1 species